rnacentral:rRNA from 1 species
UACAGAGGUCUCAAGCGUUGUUCGGAUUCAUUGGGCGUAAAGGGUGCGUAGGUGGCGCGGUAAGUCGGGUGUGAAAUCUCGGAGCUUAACUCCGAAAUUGCAUUCGAUACUGCCGUGCUUGAGGACUGGAGAGGAGACUGGAAUUUACGGUGUAGCGGUGAAAAUGCGUAGAUAUCGUAAGGAAGACCAGUGGCGAAGGCGGGUCUCUGGACAGUUCCUGACGCUGAGGCACGAAGGUCAGGGGAGCAAACGGG